rnacentral:rRNA from 1 species
UACGUAGGGGGCAAGCGUUGUCCGGAUUUAUUGGGCGUAAAGAGCGUGUAGGCUGCCUUACAGGUCAGCUGUGAAAACUCGAGGCUCAACCUCGAGACGUCGGUUGAAACCGUAUGGCUAGAGUCCGGAAGAGGAGAGUGGAAUUCCCGGUGUAGCGGUGAAAUGCGCAGAUAUCGGGAAGAACACCCGUGGCGAAGGCGGCUCUCUGGGACGGUACUGACGCUGAGACGCGAAAGCGUGGGGAGCGAACAGG